AUUGAACGCUGGCGGCAGGCCUAACACAUGCAAGUCGAGCGAGCGGCGGACGGGUGAGUAAUGUAUGGGGAUCUGCCCGAUAGAGGGGGAUAAAUACUGGAAACGGGAGCUAAUACCGCAUACAAUAGGAUGAGCCCAAGUGGGAUUAGGUAGUUGGGGGGGUAAAGGCCCACCAAGACGACGAUCUCUAGCUGGUCUGAGAGGAGGACCAGCCACACUGGGACUGAGGCACGGCCCAGACUCCUACGGGAGGCAGCAGUGGGGAAUAUUGCGCAAUGGGGGCAACCUGACGCAGCCAUGCCGCGUGAAUGAAGAAGGCCUUCGGGUUGUAAAGUUCUUUCGGUAGCGAGGCGUUAACUACAGAAGAAGCACCGGCUAACUCCGUGCCAGCCGCCGCGGUAAUUC
rnacentral:rRNA from 1 species